GAUCGAUAAGACUGAUUAUCCUACUAAAGAGUGGAUCGAAAGAGUGGUGAUUUUGGGUCCACCAAGUGGCAUAAAGGGCGCUAAACUCACUAGUAAAAGUUUAGGUACUGUUGAGUUAGAAACAUCCUAUGAUGGCGAAGAGAGAACUCUUACCGUUCGCAAACCCGGCGUUUCCGUCAGAGAGCCAUUUAGUAUUAAACUUUAUUAACUUAUUGCAACUAGGAAUAAUAGUGCAGCAAUAGGACUAGAAACGUUUUACCUCAGCGGUUCUUGAAGACAUCUUGUGAUUUUUUCCUGCUUUUUAGUUUUUUUUAUGAUACUUGUAAUACGUAGAUAUUUUACAAUUUUUAAAUUAGGGAUGGACGGUAAGUGGAAGGUAAUUAUGGAAUGAAGAAUAAACGUUUGAUAGAAAUU